rnacentral:rRNA from 1 species
AUUGAACGCUGGCGGCAUGCCUUACACAUGCAAGUCGAACGGUAACAGGUCUUCUGGUGCUGACGAGUGGCGAACGGGUGAGUAAUACAUCGGAACGUACCUAGUAGUGGGGGAUAACUACUCGAAAGAGUGGCUAAUACCGCAUGAGAUCUACGGGUGAAAGCAGGGGAUCGAAAGACCUUGUGCUAUUAGAGCGGCCGAUGGCAGAUUAGGUAGUUGGUGGGAUAAAAGCUUACCAAGGCGACGAUCUGUAGCUGGUCUGAGAGGACGAUCAGCCACACUGGGACUGAGACACGGCCCAGACUCCUACGGGAGGCAGCAGUGGGGAAUUUUGGACAAUGGGCGAAAGCCUGAUCCAGCAAUGCCGCGUGCAGGAUGAAGGCCUUCGGGAUGUAAACUGCUUUUGUACGGAACGAAAAGCCCCGGGUUAAUACCCUGGGGUCAUGACGGUACCGUAAGAAUAAGCACCGGCUAACUACGUGCCAGCCGCCGCGGUAA